GAUGAACGCUGGCGGCGUGCCUAAUACAUGCCAGUCGAGCGAACAGACGAGGAGCUUGCUCCUCUGACGUUAGCGGCGGACGGGUGAGUAACACGUGGAUAACCUACCUAUAAGACUGGGAUAACUUCGGGAAACCGGAGCUAAUACCGGAUAAUAUAUUUAACCGCAUGGUUCAAUAGUGAAAUACGGUUUUGCUGUCACUUAUAGAUGGAUCCGCGCCGCAUUAGCUAGUUGGUAAGGUAACGGCUUACCAAGGCGACGAUGCGUAGCCGACCUGAGAGGGUGAUCGGCCACAAUGGAACUGAGACACGGUCCAGACUCCUAAGGGAGGCAGCAGGAGGGAAUCUUCCGCAAUGGGCGAAAGCCUGACGGAGCAACGCCGCGUGAGUGAUGAAGGUCUUCGGAUCGUAAACUCUGUUAUUAGGGAAGAACAAAUGUGUAAGUAACUAUGCACGUCUUGACGGUACCUAAUCAGAAAGCCACGGCUAACUACGUG
rnacentral:rRNA from 1 species